rnacentral:rRNA from 1 species
GAUGAACGCUGGCGGCGUGCCUAAUACAUGCAAGUCGAGCGAACGGACGAGAAGCUUGCUUCUCUGAUGUUAGCGGCGGACGGGUGAGUAACACGUGGAUAACCUACCUAUAAGACUGGGAUAACUUCGGGAAACCGGAGCUAAUACCGGAUGAUAUUUUGAACCGCAUGGUUCAAAAGUGAAAGACGGUCUUGCUGUCACUUAUAGAUGGAUCCGCGCUGCAUUAGCUAGUUGGUAAUGUAACGGCUUACCAAGGCAACGAUGCAUAGCCGACCUGAGAGGGUGCGGGCCCCCAUGGGAAUGAGAACGGGCCCCAGCCUCCUAGGGGAGGGAGCAGUAGGGACUCUUCCGCAAGGGGGGGAAGCCUGGCGGAGCAACGCCGGGGGGGUGAGAAAGGUCUUGGGAUCGUAAAACUGUUUUAUGGGGGAAAAAAAUAUGUGAAAGGAACUGUGCAAUGCUUGACGGUACUUAAUAAAAAAGCCACGGCUAACUACGUG